UGAAAAACUGUGAAAGGGAAGAGUAAACAUACAAAUGUGUUUUACAGAGAGUGGGUCUUAGGCUGCAAGCCCAUAAACCAUAUAUGUUGAAAAAUCACCCUGGAGUUGAAGGCUGAAAAUAAGUAAGCUUUAUCCGGCGUUGCCGUUAUUAGCAUUAAGAAAUAAAUUUGGGUGGUACCGCGAUAGACUUCUCGCCCCAUGA
rnacentral:ncRNA from 1 species